rnacentral:rRNA from 1 species
UACGUAGGGUGCAAGCGUUAAUCGGAAUUACUGGGCGUAAAGCGUGCGCAGGCGGUUUCGUAAGUCUGUCGUGAAAUCCCCGGGCUUAACCUGGGAAUGGCGAUGGAGACUGCGAGGCUAGAGUUUGGCAGAGGGGGGUAGAAUUCCACGUGUAGCAGUGAAAUGCGUAGAGAUGUGGAGGAACACCGAUGGCGAAGGCAGCCCCCUGGGCUAGCACUGACGCUCAGGCACGAAAGCGUGGGGAGCAAACAGG